rnacentral:rRNA from 1 species
GCUAACAAUGGGUGCAGCCUGAUCCAGCCAUCCCGCGUGAGGAUUAAGGUCCUAUGGAUUGUAAACUUCUUUUAUACAGGGAUAAACCUCUCCACGUGUGGAGAGCUGAAGGUACUGUAUGAAUAAGCACCGGCUAACUCCAUGCCAGCAGCCGCGGUAAU